rfam:Daphnia pulex DAPPTscaffold_608_Cont10245, whole genome shotgun sequence.
GCCUGACUAGCUCAGUCGGAAGAGCAUGAGACUCUUAAUCUCAGGGCCGGGGGUUCGAGCCCCCCGUUUGGCG